rnacentral:misc_RNA from 1 species
CGGUCAGAUCAGAGGGCGAAACGAAGUGCUUGGCGAAGAAGAAGAGAGCCGCUGGGAUCGUCGCGUUGAAUGCGAUGUCCCAGAGCAAGGACGUGAUCAUCGAUCGAGGUGCAGCGUUCGUCAUAGACGAGAGCUGGGUCGGUACGAUCGGCAGAUUCCUUCGGCUGGGGCCCUCAGGGAUCGUCCUGAGGGAGGGCGCAGCCUGGCGACUCCGC